rnacentral:tRNA from 1 species
GGGACAGCUUGGUCUAAGAUGCCAUCCGGGCAUAGAAAAUACCGGUCUCGGGCACCGGUGAUCGUGGGUUCAAAUCCCACCCGCCCCA